rnacentral:piRNA from 1 species
UCGCAAGCUAGAAACCAAAAAUCAAAAUA